UACGUAGGUGGCGAGCGUUAAUCGGAAUUACUGGGCGUAAAGCGUGCGUAGGCGGUUUCAUAAGCUUGAUGUGAAAGCCCCGGGCUCAACCUGGGAAUGGCAUUGAGGACUGUGGAGCUAGAGUGCGGCAGAGGGAGGUGGAAUUCCACGUGUAGCAGUGAAAUGCGUAGAGAUGUGGAGGAACACCGAUGGCGAAGGCAGCCUCCUGGGCCGACACUGACGCUGAGGGCACGAAAGCGUGGGGAGCGAACAGG
rnacentral:rRNA from 1 species